UGACUAUGCUACAAACAUGAAGAGGAAGCUUGACCAGAUGAAGGAAUCUGAUAGUAAGGUUUUACUUGAUCAUCAGCGGUUUGUGGGUUUGUUCCAAAGGCAUUUAUUGCCUUCGUCCUCUGGGGCUGUACCUGGUAAUGAAGCUUCAAAUGAUGAACCUCCAAUGCCUCCUCCUUCUGGGGUUUUUUCAAGUACUGAGGCUCCGGAUAACCACCCUCCGGUGCUUUCUCUUUCUGGGGCUCUACCGACUGCUGAGACUUCCCCUAAGCAACCUUUGUGAAGGCUUCCUUUUGUUUGUUUAUUUUGACUCAUGUAUAUGUACAUAUUUGUGGCUUAUCGAAAAUAUUAAUAAAUAAGCUUUGCUUCAUUUCAACAUAUUGUGUUAAAUACACCAAAGCCUUCUUCAGAAAGUUCUUUGAAUUUUUUCUUUUGUUGAAACCUGUAUUGUUGAAGCUUUGUGAGUGAAGCGUGUAGUUUGAGGUAGUGUUCCCUUAAUUUCCCGAGUGAGGAAAACUUCUCGGUUGGAGACUUGAAAAAAUCCAAGUCACUGAGUGGUUGUGAGACUGCCGAGUAUCAAGGUGCAGUAGCAUAUGGUGGGAGUCCCCCAAGUCUUCAGGCGAGGAGAGUUGUCGAAUGAGGUGUCUUGCUUGCUACUAAUUUGUCAAAGUAACGAAGCCGUGUUUUGAUGUGACACUUUCAUAUAUGCCUUAUCUAAAAAUAUUUCCAACUUUUGUGUGUUUGAUGCUGCAUGCUAUUGACUAGACAAGAUCAAGUGCAAUUAGUAGCUUUUCUCUCUUUUUCAUCUUUUCUUUGGUGGAAUUGCUUUUCGUUUCCACUAAUCAGCCUGAGUGGAAGCAAGAUAACACCAUUCUCUAUAGCUCAGAUCGCAAAGUAGUCUUCAUGAAAGUUGUUCCUUAUCUUGUGAACUACAACAUAUCCAAAUUUGAGAUCCAUCGGAGUAGUACAACUUCAGAAAUUCAGGUAUGAUGAGUAACUGUUCAUCAAUUUUCUGUUUACCCGUCAGACUUGUUGUGAGCUUCUAAACUCCAUUUUGUCUUGUUCAGCUCAACAUACUUUCUUCAUCGAAGUUGUUCCUCACCUUGUCAGCUACAACAUAUCCAAAUUUGAGAUCCAUCGGAGCAGUAAAAAUCCAGAAAUUCAGGUAUGAUGAGUGACUGUUCAUCAUUUUCCUGUCAACCUGUCAGACUUGUUGUGAGCUUCGAAACUCCAUUUUCUCUUGUUCAGAUCAACAUACUUUCUUCAUCAAAGUUGUUCCUCACCUUGUCAGCUACAACAUAUCCAAAUUUGAGAUCCAUCGGAGCAGUAAAAAUCCAGAAAUUCAGGUAUGAUGAGUGACUGUUCAUCAUUUUUCUGUCAACCUGUCAGACUUGUUGUGAGCUUCUAAACUCCAUUUUCUCUUGUUCAGAUCAACAUACUUUCUUCAUCAAAGUUGUUCCUCACCUUGUCAGCUACAACAUAUCCAAAUUUGAGAUCCAUCGGAGCAGUACAAAU
rnacentral:lncRNA from 1 species